AGGGACGUUGAGCCACAGAAUGCUCUUGCUCUGGUUCACAGAAUUUGUAUAUUAAUUUUAAUUUCGCGUUCUCUGCUUCCUCUUCAUGAGUUCGAUCGCCGAUACAAGGAUUGCCAAGCUUGGUUUUUUGGGGAGGAUAAGAUCAAAGCACCAGAAAUGAGCGGCUUUUAGUUGAGAAAGAGAAAACCCAACUACGGCCAAAUCCUUUUCAGCCGAUCACAACUUUCCUUGACUCCAGUGACUGCGCCAUUCUCCUCACCUACCUGAGAACGACCUUCGCCAAGGACCAAACUUAUCAGAAAAUUGCAGCAGUUAGGAGAGGGCGGCGAGAUCGGAAAUAUUGAAACACGCAACAAAGGCCUACCUUCAGCUAUUCUACAUCAACCUUCAGCCCAGCCUCCGGCGACGACGGUAACAGAAGACAGCAAUUUCAGUCCCUUUUUUCCGCUUCCAUCCAGCGUGUUUCUAAGAAUUCCAUUUUCAGUUGGUGAACUCCGUAACCUUUCCAAUAAAUUUCUUUUACCUUCCUUUUACUGUAAUAAUGCAUUCUGGAAGACGGGUGAGGGACAGCUAGAGAUUGCAUAGGAAUGGGAUUAUCCAAAUGCUAUUAAUAGUUGCUUAAUUUGGGACAAUGAUCUCACAGUUUGUGUUAAUUUCAGCUUCUAGGUUAAUUUAAGUCAAUAUCAGUGUCUAUUUGCAUGCACUUAUAAUCUUUAUAUGAAUUUGGAUUACCAUUUGGUGGUUUCUAUUUAUUGUGCAUUAGAUGUGACCUGUUCGCUGUGAAGUUGAAGUUUCUUCUGCAUAAGAUAUUAUGGCUUUUAAAAUCCUGUGAAUUAAUAAAAUCUGUAGAUUAAUGGCCUUUCUAUUCAGCUUUGGUUAUUGCUUUUCCAUUAUUCAGUAUUAUAUUAUAGCUGUUUUCACUUGGAAUAUUUACUUUCUUGGCAUGCUUAGUCAUUGACUGCCAACAGAGUUCAUGAUAUUCAGUAGAUAAAUUAUGUGUAAUGCAUUGUUUUGCCCAUAAGCUUCGAAAGGGCAGAUCUCCUGAGAAUAGAUGCUUCUAUGACUUAAAUUGAUGCUUUUACAAAUCUGCCACAUGCGCACAUAGUUAUAAGUUUAUAUGUAUUCUUUUUACCAUGCUACAUUACCACGAGUUUGAUCCCAAGUAUUUGGGGUUUAGUUGUAUGCGAAAUUUUGAAGUGAGCUUGAGCCUGUAAUUGUUUUGUUAAGCACUGGUAACUGACUAAUUUCAGCUUCACUUUCAAUCUAAUUUGGUUUUUGCAUCUUUCCUUUAGGUGAAUCUCAGUAUUAAGAAAACGAAGAAGAGGGGAGAUUUUCGCAUUUUCCAGUGAAUCCCAGUCAUAUAUAUCAUCUCAUUUUGCUCAGUACUUGUUCCCUGUCUUUUUUUCCUUUGGUUUUAGUUUCUAGGUUAUUUGAGAUUAUUCUCAGUUUCUAGGUUAAUUUCAAUUUCAAUUUCAAAUUCUUGCAUUUGGAAUCAGUAUUUUGAAAUUUGACUUGAAAUUUCAGCCCUCUAAUUCACUCAACCAAUUUUUUCUUGAAUGUUAGGUAAAUGUUGCUAGAUAUGGCAUAGGGAAAUAAAUAUCAUAAGCAAUCAAUGAUGGCUGCCACCUUAAUUUUACAUUAUGGCAAGUGCUGUGUGCAUUUAGAGGGUAGAGACUCAUAGGUUGUUCAUAGGAACUAAAUUUUUGAACUAAUUUGGAUAUGCAAUAUAUUGAUAUUAUAUAGUUAUUAUGUAUGCCUACAUUAAUUAUCUUAAUUCUUUGAGUCAUAGUUAUACAUUUUUCAUCAUCUAAAUUUUGCUUUAUGAUUGUACUGCAUUCUUAAAAUUUCUAUUUCAAAUUUCCAGGUGUUUGGUAAUAUGAUAUUCUCUUUCCAAUAGAUUUUAUUUUUUUCAUGGAGAUAGAUCUUGAGCUGCCUUCAAACGAGCAGGAGAAACUAAAUACCGGAUCAAAUAAAAGUAUUGAUGUCAUGGAUAGUGCAUACGGGUUGCAUGUUACUGAAGAGGAGAUAUAUUCUCCUACAGGUGAAUAUGUUGAGGAAGCCUGCAGGCCAAAUGAAAAUGAAUGUUGUACUGGUGAUGGAGAUCAUGUGGAAGGGAAUAUUGUCAGAGCUGAUGCUGUUAACAAAGGUGUAAUUAUUGAGCCCCAAAAUGGUUUGGAAUUUGAAACAAAGGAGGCGGCAUAUUCUUUCUACAGAGAAUAUGCUCGAUCUGUAGGAUUUGGCAUCACAAUAAAAGCCAGUCGACGAUCUAAAAAAUCUGGAAAAUUUAUUGAUGUAAAAAUUGCAUGUUCUAGAUUUGGAAGCAAGCGCGAGUCAAGUGCAACUGUCAAUCCACGAUCAUGCAUAAAGACAGAUUGCAAAGCAGGCAUGCACAUGAAGAGAACGCAGGAAGAAAAGUGGAUUAUAUAUAGUUUCAUAAGGGAGCAUAACCAUGAGAUUUGUCCAGAUGAUUUUUAUAAUUCCAUUCAGGGACGAAAUAAGCAAUCUGGUGUAAUUGCAUGCCAAAAGAAAGGGCUGCAGUUGGCUUUAGAUGAGGACGAUAUACAAGUCAUGCUUGAGCAUUUUAUGUGCAUGCAGGCGCAAAAUCAUAAUUUCUUUUAUUCAUUAGAUAUUGACCAUGAAAAACGUUUGAGAAAUGUGUUCUGGAUUGAUGCGAAAGGCAGGCAUGAUUACAAUUUUUUCUGUGAUGUUGUUUUCUUUGAUACCUUUUAUGUUAGAAGCAAAUAUAAGGUUCCUUAUGCUCCCAUUAUUGGAGUCAACCACCACUUUCAAUACAUUUUACUUGGAUGUGCAUUGAUUGGAGAGCAGACUACAUCGACUUUCAUUUGGUUAAUGCAGACAUGGCGUAAAGCAGUGGGUGGUCAAGCUCCUAAAGUAAUUAUUACUGAGCAAGAGAAAUGCUUAAAUGAAGCUGUUUCAAGUGUGUUUCCUGAUACAUGCCACUGUUUUUGUUUAUGGCAUAUAUUGAGUAAGAUGCCUGAAAAUUUGUCUUGUGUUGCAAAUGAAGGUGAAACUUUUAUGGCCAAAUUCAAUAAAUGCAUUUAUAGGUCUUGGACAGAUGAGCAAUUUGAAAAGAGAUGGUGGAAAUUAGUUGAUAAGUUUGAACUACAGGAUAACGAAUGGGUUCACUCAUUAUUUCAAGAUCGUAAACGAUGGGUUCCAACAUAUAUGCAAGAUACAUUUUUAGCUGGAAUGUCUACAACUGAGCGAUAUGGAAGUAUAGCCUCUUUCUUUGACAGGUAUAUUCACAGGGAAAGUACAUUCAAGGAGUUUAUGGAGCAGUAUACAAUAUUUUUGGAAGACUGGAUUGAAAUGGAAGCCAAAGCUGAUUUUGUAACACAAAACAAACAACCUGCAUUAAGAUCUCACUCGUCAUUUGAGAAACAAAUGUUGGGAGUCUAUACAGAUGCAGUAUUUAAGAAAUUUCAGGUUGAGGUUUUGGGAGCAGUUUCAUGUCAGCUUCAGAAGGAAAGUGAAGAUGGGGCAACUUGUAACUUCCAAGUUGACGAUUUUGAAGAACGACAUAACUUUCUUGUAAUGUGGAAUGAAGCAGCGUCAGAUAUUCAUUGUUCAUGUCGUUCAUUUGAAUAUAGAGGUUUUCUUUGUAAACAUGCAAUCCUUGUUCUUCAGAUGUCUGGUGUUUCCAACAUACCAUCCCCCUAUAUAUUAAAAAGAUGGACAAAAGAUGCAAAGAUCACUCAAAGUGUUAGCGAAAUAUCUAAUGGUCUUCCUUAUAGGGUACAACGUUUCAAUGAUUUAUGUAAGCGAGCCAUCAAACUGUGUGAAGCGGGGUCUUUAUGUGAAGAAGCUUAUCAUAUUGCAUUCCAGGCAUUAGAAGAAGUCUUGAGAAGUUGUGUAAGUGUCAACAAUUCUGUUAGAAGUGCUUCAGAACCCAAUUCAUUGGCCGUUCAUGGUUUUCUUAACAUUGAAGAAGAGAAUCGUAGCAGCAAUAUGUCCAAAUCAUCUAAGAAAAAGAAAAUUUAUAAGAAGAAAAAGGUACUUUCUGAGCCAGAAGGGAUAACGGUUGGUUUACAAGACAGCUACCAGCAAUUGGAACAGAUUAACUCCCGAGCGCACACCACUGAAAAUUGCUAUGUUCCACAACAGGACAUGCAAGAUAUGGAAUUGGGCUCCAGGGCACAAACCCUUGAUGGUUUCUAUGGUCCUCAACAUGGCAUGCAAGGCACGGGACAACUGAACUCAAUAUCUCCAAUGCGUGAUGGUUAUCAUCAAGGCUUACCAGGCAUGGGGCAGUUACAUUCAAUAUUGACAUGUGUUAGUUCCUAUGGGGCACAACAAAGCAUGCAGGCACUGGUAUUAGCUUUCAUAAUUAUUCCUGUUCUAUCGAGCCUUGAUUUUAUUUUGCAGCAUAAGUGGCAUAUCCUGGUAUGGGUUUUUUGGUGAUUGCAGGGCCAGCUAGGCUUUAGAGUACCAACUGUGCAGGGCUGUUUUCACAUACAGAGUAAUUUGCAAGAUAUGGUAUCCAUUUAAAAAAUGAUUACAUAAACCCAUAUUUAUAGUUUUAUUUCCCUUUCCCAUUUUUGGUGUUGCAUAAUGCAAUUAUAAACCUUGCAGGAACAGCCUGUUGGCUCCACACAGUAUCACAGAGUGGCACCAAAGCAUCUAAAUGAUAAGCGUCAUUCACAUUAACUCAAAUACUGAUACUUCUCCAAUCUCAGUGUAAAAGUAUAUAUAAUAUAAUCAUCCUCUAAUGCUUUGGUUGCAAUUUUUUGUUUUCCUCUAUGACAGAUGCUCUCCCACGAUUGGAGAAAGCUCCACGUAUGUAAUUUAGAUUUAUUACUUAUUUGCUGGUAAAGUUAGUUGUACCAUUUUCAAAACAGAAAGGGACGGGAUCACGGAGGGGCUAUAUAUUAUAAGAAAUAAGCCAGCGAGAAGGCAUGAACUUUUCUGUGCUUAGAGGAAAUUCAUGUUAUCAAUCGGUUCAGUUCGGUUAAUUUUCUAAUAAGCUUUUCUAGAUUCACUUUGAGCUUCCCAUAACUUCUCAGCUCAUUGGAAGUGUUUUUCAAUUUGAAUUUUAAUAUUUAAUAUUCAUGUGUGAUUUCUGAUCAUGAUGUUUGGGUUGAGAUAAGGAAAUAUAGAACUGGCUAUUUUUGUGGGGAGAUGUUGAGGGUGAGU
rnacentral:misc_RNA from 1 species